CUCAGGAUGAACGCUAGCGACAGGCCUAACACAUGCAAGUCGAGGGGCAUCGGGGCGAGGAGCAAUCCUUGCCGCCGGCGACCGGCGCACGGGUGAGUAACGCGUAUGCGACCUGCCCGUUGCAGGGGGAUAAUCGGGAGAAAUCCCGUCUAAUACCGCGUAAUGCCGCGGGGCUGCAUGGCCCUGCGGCCAAAGGAAGCGAUUCCGGCAACGGAUGGGCAUGCGUGACAUUAGCUAGUUGGCGGGGCAACGGCCCACCAAGGCGACGAUGUCUAGGGGUUCUGAGAGGAAGGUCCCCCACACUGGUACUGAAACACGGACCAGACUCCUACGGGAGGCAGCAGUGAGGAAUAUUGGUCAAUGGGCGCGAGCCUGAACCAGCCAAGUCGCGUGAGGGAUGACGGCCCUACGGGUUGUAAACCUCUUUUGUCGGGGAGCAAAUUCCGCCACGUGUGGCGGAGUCGAGAGUACCCGAAGAAAAAGCAUCGGCUAACUCCGUGCCAGCAGCCGCGGUAAUACGGAGGAUGCGAGCGUUAUCCGGAUUUAUUGGGUUUAAAGGGUGCGUAGGCGGACUGUCAAGUCAGCGGUAAAAUACGGGGGCUCAACCUCCGCCCGCCGUUGAAACUGACGGUCUUGAGUGGGCGAGAAGUAUGCGGAAUGCGUGGUGUAGCGGUGAAAUGCAUAGAUAUCACGCAGAACUCCGAUUGCGAAGGCAGCAUACCGGCGCCCAACUGACGCUGAAGCACGAAAGCGUGGGUAUCGAACAGGAUUAGAUACCCUGGUAGUCCACGCAGUAAACGAUGAAUACUAGCUGUCCGGGGCGAAUGAGCCCUGGGUGGCACAGCGAAAGCGUUAAGUAUUCCACCUGGGGAGUACGCCGGCAACGGUGAAACUCAAAGGAAUUGACGGGGGCCCGCACAAGCGGAGGAACAUGUGGUUUAAUUCGAUGAUACGCGAGGAACCUUACCCGGGCUCAAACGACACAGGAACGUACCUGAAAGGGUUCGGCUCUACGGAGCCUGUGUCGAGGUGCUGCAUGGUUGUCGUCAGCUCGUGCCGUGAGGUGUCGGCUUAAGUGCCAUAACGAGCGCAACCCCCAUCGACAGUUGCUAACAGGUCAGGCUGAGGACUCUGUCGAGACUGCCGGCGCAAGCUGCGAGGAAGGCGGGGAUGACGUCAAAUCAGCACGGCCCUUACGUCCGGGGCGACACACGUGUUACAAUGGCAGGUACAGCGGGAAGCCACCUGGCGACAGGGAGCGGAACCCGAAAGCCUGUCUCAGUUCGGAUUGGAGUCUGCAACCCGACUCCAUGAAGCUGGAUUCGCUAGUAAUCGCGCAUCAGCCACGGCGCGGUGAAUACGUUCCCGGGCCUUGUACACACCGCCCGUCAAGCCAUGGAAGCCGGGGGUGCCUGAAGUGCGCUGCCGCGAGGAGCGCCCUAGGGUAAAACCGGUGACUGGGGCUAAGUCGUAACAAGGUA
rnacentral:rRNA from 1 species